AUGGGAGAGAAACUGUUAAAGAUGAUGUACGAUCCGGAAGACCAAAAACGCCGCAGAGAAAGUUUGAUAAUAAAGUAUGGAUGACAAAACAUGGAAAGCGUCCAGUUAUUGCCAAACGCUGUCAGAGCACAAAGAAGAUUCUUCAAGCCAUUUUCUUUGAUAGGGAGGGUGUUGUGUUGCAAUUUCCAAUUCCCAAGAAGAAAAGUGUUACUGGAAAGCAAUACAAAAACAAAUGUCCAAAAACUGGUAUUAAUGAUCUCUUCUUGUUGCACGAUAAUGAUCCAGCCCACAAGUCCAAAUUAGUCACAGAUUUCCCCAGUAAAGAAGGGGUUAAUGUCAUCCCUCAUCCUGCUUACUCUCCAGA